UUCCGUAGGUGAACCUGCGGAAGGAUCAUUGUACACACAAUGCAGCAAACCAGCGAACUGUUGUUGUCCCCCGAGGGGCCUCACCCGGAGGUGGGGCCGCCGAUGGCGUGGCUCGGUCGAGAGGCCGGCCCGUGGGCGUAGCGGAUCCUCGCUGUCGGCCGGAGUGUCCCAUUAUCGUGGUUUCGGUCGUCUGAUGUUGACGUCCCCCCUCCUUGGUGGGACUUAGCCUCCGGCGGUCGGGGUCGGGCACUCCCCUCCCCCUUUUUCCCCGUCUUUGGGGUCUCUGGGGCCGCUUUUUCAUAAGCACCUUGAGGAACAUGAAUUCAGAGACUGAGCCUGGGGCCCCUUGCCUUUGCAGGUGAUGGGGUCCGAGUCGAAAACCAAAAUAACGACUCUCAGCAACGGAUAUCUUGGCUCUUGCAACGAUGAAGAACGCAGCGAAAUGCGAUACCUAGUGUGAAUUGCAGAAUUCCGCGAAUCAUCGAGUUUUUGAACGCAAGUUGCGCCCGAGGCUUGUCCCGAGGGCAUGCCUGCCUGAGCGUCACCGCACUCCCACCUGGACAACUCUCCAGUGUGGAAUUGGCCGUCCGGGACCCUAGCCCCCAAGGGCUUUGGGUUGUGGUGGGCUGAAAUCUAGCUAUCUGGGCGUGGCCGAAGAGAGGGGCCGCGAGAAGGUGAUUCGCUCCUUUGCGGGGGCGGAGUCUAAUUGGACAGCGCUUCUCCCUUUGGUGGUCCAGACGGCGGCACUUACUUGUAAAAAGUGUGUCAUUGGGGGAGUGCAAUGUAAUGUUGC
rnacentral:rRNA from 1 species